UCUGAUUUGUUAUGCCCACAAGUAUCACUUUAGCUAAGAAAAGUCUUACAAACUAUAAUUAUUUAUAAAUGUUAAAAAUAAAAGAUACUACAAUAUGCCCAAAACUUUUUUGCUGCCCUAAGCCACCGCUUCACCGGCUUAUGCCAAAGGCCGGCCCAAUCUGGAGAUAAACAAAGAGAAAAACUCGCCGGCCCGCAACAAUUACCCAUGGUUUCAACAAUGACGGAUCAAAUCAAACCGAUCGUAGCUCGAGAGAUCGAGGGAACUUAAUCGGUGAAAAGGUGCUAACCGAUCUCGUUAAUUUGCCUGAAGCUCUGCUUCCCUUCCACCAUGGAUGAUAUCGCUUCAAUCUCAACAAACUAAACCAUCAAACAAAGACACCAAGAAGAAGAAGAAAGAUUAAAACUUUACUGAAGACAUGAACAAAGCUAUCAUCUUUCAUGAAACCCAUUAGCUAACUUGAAAAUCAAAACACCACUAAAACAAAUUACAGAACAGAGCAGAUUAAUGGAUAAUAAGGUAAAGACGAAGAAGUAAGAGAUGAAACAAAAAAAGGGAAACCUUUGAAGGGUUUUACGUCAAGGGACGAGGUUUAAGGAGCAGCACACGAGCUUAAACUAAGACAUAGAACAUCUAUAGACCAAAUGCCGGUCUAACAUUAAACAAUGCCCUAACCCAAUUCAUAAAACAAUGCCCUUAUAUAUAUGUGUGUUGUUCAGAAUCAUAUAAUAAGAGUAAAAAAAAAAAUUAAACUUCCAUAAAACAAUCUAAUUUCACAAAAAUGUUUGUAAAAAUAAAAUAAAAUAAUAAAAUUAAAAAAACUCGUACCAACUCCAAACAAUGUUAAUACGUUACUGCUCUUGUCACAAUUUGCUAGUUUUUAUAAAAAUUUGGAAAAUAAUAAAUUAGCCACGUAGCUUGUCAAUACGAAGACGAUGAUAGCAAAACUAAAGCAAUAGAAACUAAACUGGGGGCAUCAUGGAACGAAAGAGAAAAAGAAUUUUUUUAAUUAUGGUUUUAAUUAUAAUUUAAAAUAAAAACUUACUAAUAACUAUUUAAUAAUAUAUUUAACUACUAUAAUUGUUAAUAAAAUGUUUAUUAAUAUUGUUAAAAGAUCCAACAAACGUUACUCUGAUUUGUUAUGCCCACAAGUAUCACUUUAGCUAAGAAAAGUCUUACAAACUAUAAUUAUUUAUAAAUGUUAAAAAUAAAAGAUACUACAAUAUGCCCAAAACUUUUUUGCUGCCCUAAGCCACCGCUUCACCGGCUUAUGCCAAAGGCCGGCCCAAUCUGGAGAUAAACAAAGAGAAAAACUCGCCGGCCCGCAACAAUUACCCAUGGUUUCAACAAUGACGGAUCAAAUCAAACCGAUCGUAGCUCGAGAGAUCGAGGGAACUUAAUCGGUGAAAAGGUGCUAACCGAUCUCGUUAAUUUGCCUGAAGCUCUGCUUCCCUUCCACCAUGGAUGAUAUCGCUUCAACUCUCUCUCUCUUCUCAAAGAGAUGAAAGCCCAGAGAGCAACACGUGGCUCAGAAUACGUCUCUUGUAGCCCCUAGGAACCUAAAUAAGAAAC
rnacentral:lncRNA from 1 species